AAACUGAAGAGUUUGAUCCUGGCUCAGAUUGAACGCUGGCGGCAUGCCUUACACAUGCAAGUCGAACGGCAGCACGGGUGCUUGCACCUGGUGGCGAGUGGCGAACGGGUGAGUAAUACAUCGGAACAUGUCCUGUAGUGGGGGAUAGCCCGGCGAAAGCCGGAUUAAUACCGCAUACGAUCUACGGAUGAAAGCGGGGGACCUUCGGGCCUCGCGCUAUAGGGUUGGCCGAUGGCUGAUUAGCUAGUUGGUGGGGUAAAGGCCUACCAAGGCGACGAUCAGUAGCUGGUCUGAGAGGACGACCAGCCACACUGGGACUGAGACACGGCCCAGACUCCUACGGGAGGCAGCAGUGGGGAAUUUUGGACAAUGGGCGAAAGCCUGAUCCAGCAAUGCCGCGUGUGUGAAGAAGGCCUUCGGGUUGUAAAGCACUUUUGUCCGGAAAGAAAUCCUUGGCUCUAAUACAGUCGGGGGAUGACGGUACCGGAAGAAUAAGCACCGGCUAACUACGUGCCAGCAGCCGCGGUAAUACGUAGGGUGCGAGCGUUAAUCGGAAUUACUGGGCGUAAAGCGUGCGCAGGCGGUUUGCUAAGACCGAUGUGAAAUCCCCGGGCUCAACCUGGGAACUGCAUUGGUGACUGGCAGGCUAGAGUAUGGCAGAGGGGGGUAGAAUUCCACGUGUAGCAGUGAAAUGCGUAGAGAUGUGGAGGAAUACCGAUGGCGAAGGCAGCCCCCUGGGCCAAUACUGACGCUCAUGCACGAAAGCGUGGGGAGCAAACAGGAUUAGAUACCCCGGUAGUCCACGCCCUAAACGAUGUCAACUAGUUGUUGGGGAUUCAUUUCCUUAGUAACGUAGCUAACGCGUGAAGUUGACCGCCCGGGAGUACGGUCGCAAGAUUAAAACUCAAAGGAAUUGACGGGGACCCGCACAAGCGGUGGAUGAUGUGGAUUAAUUCGAUGCAACGCGAAAAACCUUACCUACCCUUGACAUGGUCGGAAUCCCGCUGAGAGGUGGGAGUGCUCGAAAGAGAACCGGCGCACAGGUGCUGCAUGGCUGUCGUCAGCUCGUGUCGUGAGAUGUUGGGUUAAGUCCCGCAACGAGCGCAACCCUUGUCCUUAGUUGCUACGCAAGAGCACUCUAAGGAGACUGCCGGUGACAAACCGGAGGAAGGUGGGGAUGACGUCAAGUCCUCAUGGCCCUUAUGGGUAGGGCUUCACACGUCAUACAAUGGUCGGAACAGAGGGUUGCCAACCCGCGAGGGGGAGCUAAUCCCAGAAAACCGAUCGUAGUCCGGAUUGCACUCUGCAACUCGAGUGCAUGAAGCUGGAAUCGCUAGUAAUCGCGGAUCAGCAUGCCGCGGUGAAUACGUUCCCGGGUCUUGUACACACCGCCCGUCACACCAUGGGAGUGGGUUUUACCAGAAGUGGCUAGUCUAACCGCAAGGAGGACGGUCACCACGGUAGGAUUCAUGACUGGGGUGAAGUCGUAACAAGGUAGCCGUAUCGGAAGGUGCGGCUGGAUCACCUCCUUU
rnacentral:rRNA from 1 species